rnacentral:rRNA from 1 species
AUACGGAGGGUGCAAGCGUUACUCGGAAUCACUGGGCGUAAAGCGCGCGCAGGCGGUCUUUUAAGUUGGAUGUGAAAGCCUACGGCUCAACCGUAGAACUGCAUCCAAAACUAUUAGACUAGAGUGUGAGAGAGGAAGAUGGAAUUAGUUGUGUAGGGGUAAAAUCCGUAGAGAUAACUAGGAAUACCAAAAGCGAAGGCAAUCUUCUGGAACACUACUGACGCUGAGGCGCGAAAGCGUGGGGAGCAAACAGCAUUAGAAACCCUAGUAGUCC